GAUCAUAGCCGUACCACCCUGAAUGUGCCUGAUCUUGUCGGAUCUCAGAAGCUAAGCAGGAUUGGGCCUGGUUAGUACUUGGAUGGGAGACUCCCUGGGAAUACCAGGUGCUGUAGGCU
rnacentral:rRNA from 1 species